rnacentral:lncRNA from 1 species
AAGAAGGAGAAUUAAAAUUAAUUCGACCUCACAAUCCUUGUGAAUUACACCUUUAAAGUUACCUAUCUAGAUAAAGAGGGUUGGCUGCUAAAACUCAUAGAAUGCAACUAACGUAAAAACAUAUCAAAAGUAUCAAAAGGUUCUAAAUAGCUCUUCAAUACAAAAAGAGUCUCCCCUUUUUAAGGGGUUUCUUCCUAAUCUAAAGAGGAAUAAAAGAAGAUUCCAUCAAAAAGAAAAGUAACAAUCCCAAAUUAUUCUCCUUUCCCUAAAAUCGUGUAUGGAAAUAAGCUUCCUAAUUAGUUAUAUGCAGAAUAUAAAAGAAUCAAAUCUAGAAGUUGAUUGACAUUGCAUGAGACGCGCUCAAGGUCCGCAUAAGCCUUGCCCAAGGUUUACUUCAUUGCUCCGUUCACUUCUCAGUAUAACUCAUUGAUGUAAGUUGUGCCCAUAGCAUGAGACGUGCUCAAGGCUCGCUUCGCGACUCCACCUUUGAUUCUUGCCUAAAACUUUCAAUUUAGAGCUCUCCUUUUCAAAGAGUGCAAAAUCUAUCAAUAUUGCAAAAAGUAAUGAAAUAUCUACAAUUUAGCACAAUCAAAUCAAAUUAAAUAUAUCAAAAUAUAUGCUAAAUAGGCAGAAUUCACAUCCGAUUAAAUUCUCCCACAAUUAGCCCAUGCUUGUCCUCAAGUAUGAAAGAAACUAGUUUUAAAACUCUAAAAUAUAACUUCCCUCGACCCAAACAAUCAAGACUCAAGUCACAUAGUUCCAAGAGAUCAAGUUUAAGUGGCAAUACAAGAGUAGCUGCAGCAGAAUGCACCCUCUUAUGUCUACAAUAACAAUUAUCAAAGAUACACAAAGAAGAAUCUCUUCUCAUUCAAAGUACAAAAAUAAUUUUCUCAAUAAAUUAAAUCAAUUCAACUUAAGAAAAAUACUAAAACUAGCCAAGACAUAUUCAAAACGCUUAUUGGUGAGACCCAUAAGAGCAAGUUUUUUCUUGCUUGAGGUGUUAAAUUUUUAAAACUAGCCAAGACCCAAGAAAAAACUUCUAAAUUAUGCUAAGUGCUAAGAAAUCCAUUCCACUUCAAUUUUGCAUAGUACAUAACUUUUGAGAAGUUUUUUCUUGCUUGAGGUGUUAAAUUUUUUUUGUGCCAGGGCGCAUAUUGGUGAGACCCAUGCACGGCUAAUUUUAUCACAAUCCUCAAGUGGCUACUAGCUCUAUUCUUUAUCCAUUAGCGGAUAACGGAGUAGGUUUUUUCCUGCGCUUUUUAUUUAUUUUUUUCUUUUCUUUUGCAUUGAAAAUGAAAUAGUAAAUUAGAUAGUUAGCAACAAUCAUCAAGAAUUAAUAUCAUCAUGCAAUUCCUGGCAGUUUCUAGUAAAGUCCUAAACUGAAUUGAAAGUCAAUUAAAGAGCAAGUAAAAAUUUAGCCAUGUAUUAUUACAGAACUCCUACAUUGUGCAUUUAAAAUCCUUGUAAUAUAGACAAAUGAGAGAAAUUCUACUAAGACUACUAAAACAUUAAAAAACAACUUGCCCUCUCAAAACUUCAGCAACUCAAUCCCCUCAUGAACAGGGGUCACAAGACUUGAGGAAAAAAAUGGGUCUAAUGAGAGAAAUUAGUCAUUGCACCAUCAAACAUUUAAAACAAACCAAAAGAAAUUUUAAAAACACCCAAAAAUUGCAAGAUUAUACAUCCCCCACACUUAGUUUACACAUUAUCCUCAAUGUAUAAAAAAAUAAAAGAAAUAACUGAAAGAGAGGGAUAAAGAAGAACAAUGGACUAAGCUAGAAUAUUGGAGAUAAAGGACACUCGUGCAAUGGAGGUGUGGGGCGGCUGAUUGCCAUGGAGAAUGGUGGUUGCGAUGAGGGGUUAUUAUAUGCAAUAAGGGAGGUGUAAGAAGAGGGGCAAUGAUGUCUUCACAAUCAGCCAUAGCUGGGGUUGCAGCAUGAGUGGCGCAAUAGAGGCAAAACUCAUAGGACUCACUAGUGAGGUGGUUGGAACACAACAGCUUGGUUCUUUCCAUGGAGGUGAAAUGGAGAUUAGAGAGAAGAGAGAGUGACAGUUGCAAAAGAAAGAGAAAGUGAAAAGAAUAUGAUUAGGG